AUACGUAGGUGGCAAGCGUUGUCCGGAAUUACUGGGUGUAAAGGGCGUGUAGGCGGGUUGUCAAGUCAGAUGUGAAAUUCCGUGGCUCAACUGCGGAGCUGCAUCUGAAACUGAUGAUCUUGAGUACUGGAGAGGGAAGCGGAAUUCCUAGUGUAGCGGUGAAAUGCGUAGAUAUUAGGAGGAACACCAGUGGCGAAGGCGGCUUUCUGGACAGUAACUGACGCUGAGGCGCGAAAGCGUGGGGAGC
rnacentral:rRNA from 1 species